UCAGACGAUGCGUCAUGCAUAUCAAUAAGCGGAGGAAAAGAAACUAACAAGGAUUCCCUUAGUAACGGCGAGUGAAGCGGGAAGAGCUCAAAUUUGAAAUCUUCAAGGUUUUACCUUGACGAAUUGUAGUUUAAAGAAGUGUUUUCUGCUGAAGUUUUGGUAAAAGUUCUUUGGAAUAGGACAUCAUAGAGGGUGAGAAUCCCGUAUUUGACCAUUAUUUUCAGCUUUGUGAUACACUUUCAAAGAGUCGGAUUGUUUGGGAAUGCAGUCCAAAAUGGGUGGUAAAUUUCAUCUAAAGCUAAAUAUUGGCGAGAGACCGAUAGCGAACAAGUACCGUGAGGGAAAGAUGAAAAGAACUUUGAAAAGAGAGUUAAACAGUACGUGAAAUUGUCAAAAGGGAAGCGUUUGACACCAGUGUUGUUUUCUCGAAAAUCAAUUAAAAAUGGCUCGAUUUUGUAUUGCUGAGACCUUAAAAGCUCACUGUACAUUUUUCGUGUCUUUUUUAAUGCACUUUUCGUUUAACAAGUCAACAUCAGUUUCUUUUGUUGUAAAAGGGUCAUUGGAAGGUGGCUUUCUUUUCGGAGAAAGUGUUUAUAGCCUUUGGCCUCUGCAAUCGGAAGAGACUGAGGUCUGCAGCGUAGACUCUUCGGGGUUAGAUGCAUUUGUGCUAAGUUAUAGCUUUUUAUAGACAACUUGUUGACUAUGAUUAGUCUUGUAGCUUACUCGCUUAUGCUAUUUUACCUACGCUUAGGAUGUUGACUGAUAUGUAGUCGU
rnacentral:rRNA from 1 species